UACGGAGGGUGCAAACGUUGCUCGGAAUUAUUGGGCGUAAAGCGCGCGUAGGCGGACCUGCAAGUCGGGGGUGAAAGCCCGAGGCUCAACCUCGGAACUGCCUUCGAUACUGCGGGUCUCGAGUCCGGGAGAGGUGAGUGGAAUUCCUAGUGUAGAGGUGAAAUUCGUAGAUAUUAGGAAGAACACCAGUGGCGAAGGCGGCGCACUGGCCCGGAACUGACGCUGAGGCGCGAAAGCGUGGGGAGCAAACAGG
rnacentral:rRNA from 1 species